UCGCACACUCGAGUUUUAACGUAUUUCCAAUAAUAGAUCGGAGUGGCUUCGGCGCGAGUCGUUCAACACGCUACUGCGGAUUAAUUCGAUUUGUUCGGUUUAGUGCACACAGCUCUAACAGGCUAGAAUCGAUUUAUAUGAGCUGUAUACAAAUUAACGAUAUUUCAAGGAGAGAAGCAGUUUACUUCAUUAGCGCUCCCACCGGCAAAUGCCAGAGAAUGGACAAUUAAAUUGAACUCGCUAUAUGGCGUGGAUGGAUGAGAAAAGAAACAGAUCAAGUGGAGAGAACAAGACAAUGUCCAGUCAAUAUCUCAGGUACUCAAGUAGGGGUUGAAGCUUGGGCCAACCAACGGCCGACGCUUGGCAUGCCAAUCACCAAGCUUGGCGCAACGUUUGGCUGACAGAUUAGCUCAUGACUGGGCUGUAGCCUGGAUGAUAACUCGGGCCCAGUUAAGGGACGCUAGAAUGACCCAACGUAUGCAGCCGUUCCUGACCCAUAACAGGCCCAAAAUUUUUUACCAAGACUGGUUCAAUUGUAAUUUCGAAGCUUGGGACCGAAUGACUAACCGGUCCUUUAAUUUAUCUACCAAUUAUUG